UGCCUUACACAUGCAAGUCGAACGGUGGACAGGUCUUCGGAUGCUGACGAGUGGCGAACGGGUGAGUAAUACAUCGGAACGUGCCCGAUCGUGGGGGAUAACGAAGCGAAAGCUUUGCUAAUACCGCAUACGAUCUACGGAUGAAAGCAGGGGACCGCAAGGCCUUGCGCGAACGGAGCGGCCGAUGGCAGAUUAGGUAGUUGGUGGGAUAAAAGCUUACCAAGCCGACGAUCUGUAGCUGGUCUGAGAGGACGACCAGCCACACUGGGACUGAGACACGGCCCAACUCCUACGGGAGGCAGCAGUGGGGAAUUUUGGACAAUGGGCGAAAGCCUGAUCCAGCCAUGCCGCGUGCAGGAUGAAGGCCUUCGGGUUGUAAACUGCUUUUGUACGGAACGAAAAGACUCUGGUUAAUACCUGGGGUCCAUGACGGUACCGUAAGAAUAAGCACCGGCUAACUACGUGCCAGCAGCCGCGGUAAUACGUAGGGUGCAAGCGUUAAUCGGAAUUACUGGGCGUAAAGCGUGCGCAGGCGGUUAUAUAAGACAGAUGUGAAAUCCCCGGGCUCAACCUGGGAACUGCAUUUGUGACUGUAUAGCUAGAGUACGGCAGAGGGGGAUGGAAUUCCGCGUGUAGCAGUGAAAUGCGUAGAUAUGCGGAGGAACACCGAUGGCGAAGGCAAUCCCCUGGGCCUGUACUGACGCUCAUGCAC
rnacentral:rRNA from 1 species